rnacentral:rRNA from 1 species
CAGCAGCCGCGGUAAAACGGAGGGUGCAAGCGUUAAUCGGAAUUACUGGGCGUAAAGCGCACGCAGGCGGUUUGUUAAGUCAGAUGUGAAAUCCCCGAGCCUAACUUGGGAACUGCAUUUGAAACUGGCAAGCUAGAGUCUUGUAGAGGGGGGUAGAAUCCCAGGUGUAGCGGUGAAAUGCGUAGAGAUCUGGAGGAAUACCGGUGGCGAAGGCGGCCCCCUGGACAAAGACUGACGCUCAGGUGCGAAAGCGUGGGGAGCAAACAGGAUUAGAUACCCGAGUAGUCCCUGUCUCUUAUAC